GAGUUUGAUCGUGGCUCAGAUUGAACGCUGGCGGCAUGCCUUACACAUGCAAGUCGAACGGCAGCAUGAUCUAGCUUGCUAGAUUGAUGGCGAGUGGCGAACGGGUGAGUAAUACAUCGGAACGUGCCCUGUAGUGGGGGAUAACUAGUCGAAAGAUUAGCUAAUACCGCAUACGACCUGAGGGUGAAGGUGGGGGACCGCAAGGCCUCAUGCUAUAGGAGCGGCCGAUGUCUGAUUAGCUAGUUGGUGGGGUAAAGGCCCACCAAGGCGACGAUCAGUAGCUGGUCUGAGAGGACGAGCAGCCACACUGGGACUGAGACACGGCCCAGACUCCUACGGGAGGCAGCAGUGGGGAAUUUUGGACAAUGGGCGAAAGCCUGAUCCAGCAAUGCCGCGUGUGUGAAGAAGGCCUCGG
rnacentral:rRNA from 1 species